AGUAGUUUGGGAAUAUGCUCAAUAAGAAAGUAAAAUCUUCUAGAGAUAAAUAAUGCCCAGAGCCGAUAGCGCAAAUGUAGAGUGAUCGAAAGAUGAACCGCACUUAAAAAGAGAUUUAAACAGCACGUGGAAUCAUCGAAAAAAAGCGCUUGCUACCAGAUUCGCACCCGCCGGAUCGCCCGUAUCUUUUGGGCCCGCCCCCGCCGGCGGCGCCAAACUCUUAUCUGCACAGCGGAAACGCCUCUGAUUUUGGAAUAAAACAAGUCAAAACUUUCAACAACGGAUCUCUUGGUUCUGGCAUCGAUGAAGAACGCAGCGAAAUGCGAUAAGUAAUGUGAAUUGCAGAAUUCAGUGAAUCAUCGAAUCUUUGAACGCACAUUGCGCCCGGCAGUAAUCUGCCGGGCAUGCCUGUCCGAGCGUCAUUUCUGCCCUCGAGCGCGGUCCGCCCUAGCCGGCGGGCCGCCGCCUCGGUGUUGGGGCGCCACGGGGGAGCCCUAGCGCUCCCCCGCGGGCCCCGAAAUGAAGUGGCGGCCCCGCCGCGGCGCCCCCUGCGUAGUACCUACAGCUCGCAUCGGGUCCCGGCGGAGGCCUGCCGUCAAGCCCUCAACUCAAGAUGGUUUGACCUCGGAUCAGGUAGGGUUACCCGCUGAACUUAAGCAUAUCAAUAA
rnacentral:misc_RNA from 1 species